GCCGAAUCGCGUUGAAACGCUAGUUCUCGUAUAAUCAUCAAAGUUAAGCAAUGUUGAGCCUAGUCAGUACCUAGUUCGGUGACCGCUUGGGAUUACCAGGUGUUGUAAG